UACGGGGAGCAAGCGUUGUUCGGAUUUACUGGGCGUAAAGGGCGCGUAGGCGGUCGUGACAAGUCACUUGUGAAAUCUCCGGGCUUAACUCGGAACGGUCAAGUGAUACUGUCGGACUAGAGUACAGAAGGGGCAACUGGAAUUCUUGGUGUAGCGGUGAAAUGCGUAGAUAUCAAGAGGAACACCUGAGGCGAAGGCGGGUUGCUAGGCUGACACUGACGCUGAAGCGCGAAAGCCCGGGGGAGCAAAACGGGG
rnacentral:rRNA from 1 species